AUUUCUGAUUUACCGCUAUCAGCGGAAGGGGUCUUGGGUGAUAAGUUAGAAACUACACUAAAGUCAAGGAAAGAAAAAAAUAAGACUUUAGAAGAUUUAUUACCUGAUUUCCAAAAGUUUGAUAAAAAGCGGAAAUCAAAUUUUAGUACAAACACAAAUGCCAAAAGGAGCUGUUUGGAAAAAGAUAAAGGAUCCUCAAAUAAGGAUGAUUUUCGGAUCUCUAGAAUUGCAAAUAAUAAAGGAUUCAAGAAAAAUUUUGACAAGACACAGACGCCAGAGAGUGAAAGGCAGUCAAAAACAGAAGGUUUCUAUAAGAAGUCGCCAUUUCCUGCUAGAGGAGGAAAGGCAUUUAAUAAAAGAUGACAAGAAAGCACAUUACAGUCGUAUUAAUACUGCAAGAAGUUUGGAAGAUAGAUGUGAUGGAGGAGCAUUAAGAUUACAGAAUCAUGGGUCGCUAUCCAGGGAAACGUUGCAAGAUGAUACAUGGUUACGACCUAGCACAGCCAAUAUAUAACGCCAUGUCAUAUAUAUCAGUAUAUACACACUAGUGAUUGUAUACUAUAGACCUUUCCUUUACUAAAAGCUGAAUGUCUGUUAUAACACUAAAUUAUUUCUUGUUUUUUUUUCCUAUUUGUAUUUUUAAUUUUCAACUCAAUUUUUAAAUUUUCAAGAAUUAACUUUAGAUUUGUAUUUUGAAUUUCCAUUUUUUUAAGUUCAUUUUCAAUUUAGUUCCUAUUUUAAUAAUUAAGUUCCUAUUUUAAUAAUUAAGUCCCUAUUUUAACAAUUAAGUAUUAAGUUCCUAUUUUAAUAAUUAAGUCCCUAUUUUAACAAUUAAGUUCCUAUUUUCAAAAUUAGUUUAUAAUUUUAAAAUUUAAUUUAUAAUUGUAAAAUUUAAUUUAUAAUUGAUUUUAAUAAUUAAGUUCCUAUUUUAAUAAUUAAGUCCCUCUUUUAACAAUUAAGUUCCUAUUUUGAAAAUU